CGAAAGGUAUGCAUUGGAAAGCG
rnacentral:snRNA from 1 species